AUGCACGGCUCUAACACGCUCGCGCAGCUCCUCCUCCUCGCCGACGACGUCUGGGUGCUUGUGUACGACUCGCACCUGCCGUGGGCGCGGUGCGUGGCGAGUGAGGCCGGCGUGGCCGCGGCAAUGUUCUUCACGCAGAUGUGCGCGGUGGACGUGGUGUACGGCGAGGUCUCCGCGGGGCGGGUUGCGCUGCCACUGGCGGACGGGAGCGCGCUCCGGGGGAGGCUCUCCGUGGAGCUCGGGCCCGACGACGUGCCGCCGUUCGUCGCCGCGCCGGCGUGGUACCCGGCGUUCACGGACUCGGCGCUGUCACGGCGGGGCCGGGCACGGCCGGGGCGAGGCGAGUCGAGGAUGGGCGCGGCCGGGCGCAGCCGAGCACAGCGAGGCGAGGCCACGGCGAGUUGA
rnacentral:rRNA from 1 species